rnacentral:lncRNA from 1 species
UUAUGUUUUCUGGUCUGUGCCUCCGUUCGUUCGUCCGUCCAUCUGUGCGUCCGUUCGCUUCAGGUUAAAGUUUUUGGUCAAGGUAGUUUUUGAAGAAGUUGAAGUCCAAUCAACUUGAAACUUAGUACACAUGUUUCCCAUGAUAUGAUCUUUCUAAUUUUAAUGCCAAAUUAUAGUUUUGACCCCAAUUUCAUGGUCCCCUGAACAUAGAAAAUGAUAGUGCAAAGUUCAGGUUAAAGUUUUUGGUCAAGGUAGUUUUUGAUAAAGUUAAAGUUACAUCAACUUGAAACUUAGUACACAUGUUCCCUAUGAUAUGAUCUUUGUAAUUAUAAUUCCAAAUUAUAAGUUUAGUUUGACCCCAAUUUCACGGUCCACUGAACAUAGAAAAUGAUAGUGCGAGUGGGGCAUCCGUGUACUAUGGACACAUUCUUGUU